rnacentral:rRNA from 1 species
UCUUCGGAUUAAAGCUUCGGCGGUUUGGGAAGAGCCCGCGUAAGGAUUAGCUAGUUGGUGAGGUAAUGGCUCACCAAGGCGACGAUCUUUAACUGGUUUGAGAGGAUGAUCAGUCACACUGGAAUUGAGACACGGUCCAGACUCCUACGGGAGGCAGCAGUGAGGAAUUUUCCACAAUGGGGCGAAAGCCUGAUGGAGCAACGCCGCGUGCAGGAUGAAGGCUUUAGGGUUGUAAACUGCUUUUAUAUGUGACGAAUAUGACGGUAGCAUAUGAAUAAGGAUCGGCUAACUCCGUG